UUUAAGACUAAGGGCCAUCCUUUUUCUUUUGUGAAAAUGCGGAUUAUAUUCAUGUAUGUUAAUGAUAAUUAGUUAAAAAUGAAGAAACGAAUUUAAGGAGACAGGUGGCAAAACAAGUGGGGAAGUAAAAAAGUCCAGCUUGCUUCAUCACACAAUAGAUAGCCCAUAAAAAACUGAGCACAUAUCAAGCCUGAAAACAGGAAGGAAAUGUACUGAACUGUGAAAAAAAGGCAAAAAGGAAACAGUGACGGUUCAAGGACAAGAAGUGCAAUAUAGAACAACUUUAAAACAGCAGUGGUGUCUUCGUUAAGUGGUCACAGUUUUGGACUUCCAAGUGUACGAGCCGUGUUCUAAACUCCCUCAUGUCAUAUAUUUUUAUUUAUUUAUUUUUUAACAAUAUUAUGAAAUGUGCAUCCACUCAUUGAAAUGUUUGUUCUCUUUUUGUAGUCUUGGCAAGUAAGAGUCAUGUGUUAAGAAUAGUUACCGUCACAAGUAAAUGUGAUGAAUAGCGAGUGCAGGUGAGAUACCACAUAGACAUCUCACAGAAAUGAAAUCAACAAAUAAACAGAUGUGAACUACAUUACAACAAAAGAAUUCAAGAGUCAAAACCUCCAAAAUCGAAUGCAACUUCAACUUCAAGAACAUUAAAAACAUAUGUUUUGACAAAGCACAGAGACUGUGUGAUUGUGAAACUGUUGUGUUCAUUUGUUAGAGCUUAUGUGACAAACUAUUAUGUUUUCAUCAUUUUCUUGGGAGUGAUCACAUUCAUAUGAACACCUAAAUCAGGCAAGGAGGCAUAUCUCACUCACUUACCAGGUGUACAAAUUAGAUGCGUCAGUAAGAGAUCCCUAUCGUAUGACACAUGUACUGUCACUAACGCCAUGUAUGACACACUAGACAUGUUUUCUGGUGGAGGAUUCAGUUAACUUGUCGCCUUGUCACAAAUGUUUGUGGUUCCUAUUCGAAAGCCACUUCCUUUCGGCUGCUAAUAGAGUAAUUGUGCAGAGUCAACUGUCAUCAUAAGUCCCUUCCUGAUACCUUGCUGUUGCAAAUGGACAUUACACCGCAACACACACACACACACACACACACACACACACACACACACACACACACACACACACACAUAAAUUUGAUACAGUGAACGUUGGAGGAAAGCUAACACUUAUCCACAUCAUCAUUGCUCUGUCAAGCUGAUCUACAUUGCAGGUCUUGCCCGUGGACCAUUCACUGUUUGUAUUUUGGUUUUCCUACACAAUUCAGCAUACAUUCUCACUAUUUUCAUGCUUUAUCUGUGUUCAGUUUUCCAUGGGAUAUCCAUGGGGCCCUCUUGCCACUAAAUGUGCAAUGGGGAGUUUCCCUUGUGGAAAAUACACUAAUAAACAUGUUUUCAACUGUUGUAUGCUUACUGAACCAAUAAUGCAUCUCCUUAGCGCUAGUUACACUAAUAGUAUGUGGAGUUCAGUACAGUGAAUGUACACUGAGGUGACAAAAGUCGUGGGGUGUCUCCCAAUACCAUGUCAGACAUCCUUUUGCUGGAUGUAGUGCAGCAACUCGACAUGGCAUGAACUUAGCAAGUCAUUGGAAGUCCCCUGCAGAAAUAUCGAGACAUUCUGCUUCUGUAGUCAUCCAUAAUUGUGAAGGUGUUGCCAGUGCAGGAUUUCGUGCAUGAACUGGUCUUUUGGUUAUGUACCAUAAAUGUUCAAUGGUAUUCAUGUCGGGCAGUCUGGGUGGCCAAAUCAUUCACUCAAAUUGUCUAGAAUGUUCUUCAAACCAAUCGCACUCAAUUGUGGCACAGUGACAUGGUGCAUUGUCAUCCAUAAAAAUUCCAUCGAUGUUUGGGAAGAUGAAGCCCACACCAUUAUAGAGCCGCCGCCACCUUGCAUAGUGUCUUGUUGAGAACCAGGGUUCGUAGCUUUACUGCGUCUAUACCACACUCAACCCUACCAUCAGCUCUUACCAACUGAAAUUGGGACUCAUCUGACCAGGCCUCGGUUUUCCGGUCAUCUAAUGUCCAACUGAUAUGGUCAUGAGCCCAAGAGAGGUGUUGCAGGUGACACCAUGCUAUUAGCAAAGGCAUUUGCAUCAGUCUUCUGCUGCCAUAGCCCAUUAAUGCCAAAUUUUGCUACACAGUGCUAACCAAUACAUUCGUGGCUCCACCUACCAUUCCACAUUCAAAGUCUGUUAAUUCCUGCCGGCCGGGAUGGCCGAGCGGUUCUAGGCGCUACAGUCUGGAACUGCGCGACUGCUACGGUCACAGGUUCAAAUCCUGCCUUGGGCAUGGAUGUGUGUAAUGUCCUUAGGUUAGUUAGGUUUAAGUAGUUCUAAGUUCUAGGGGACUGAUGACCUCAGCAGUUAAGUCCCAUAGUGCUCAGAGCCAUUUGAACCAUUUUUGUUAAUUCCUGUUGUGUGGUCAUAAUCACGUUGGAUACCUUUUCACAUGAAUCACCUCAGUACAAAUGACACCUCCACCAAUGCACUGCCCUUUUAUACCUUCUGUACAUGAUACCACCGCCAUCUGUAUAUGUGCAUGUUGCUACAUCAUGACUUUUGUCACCUCAGUGUAAAUGUUAUUUAUGCAUCUACAUAUUUCUGCUUUGAAGCUUGUUCAGGAGGCAAAUCACUGAGCUAACAAGAACAUAGACUACAAAUUUAGAUGUUUUAUGAUUUCCUUCUUGUGUCAAGUGCAAGAAGGUAAACAUUAAACAUGCGUUACAUUAGAUAAAACCCCACAAUAAAUAUUAAUGUCUGAAUUUAGACAGUAAAUCUGCAUGUGUACUCUGUCAUUAGACUACAAACUUUGUAGUCUAAAGUGUUUUCAAUCCAAUUUGUUCAGCAAAAUAUCUUCAUGCAGGUGCUUAUAUACAGUUAACAGUCCUGGAGCAACCAAUGCAAAAGUGAAAAAAAAAAAAAAAAACAGUAGUCAUCUACUAGAUUUUAGUAAGUAAAAUUGAAAAGGCUGAACUGUAUUUACAGAAAGAUCUGCGGGUCAGCUGCAAAUGCAUUUCUUCCUCAGUAUCUAUAUCUCCUCUGUUUACUGGUAAUGUCCACUAAUUUCUUCAUUCUCUCAAGAAAUGAGCAUACAAAAUGCACCAUUAUUAUUGAUGAAACCUCCUGGCAGAUUAAUCUGGUUUUAAUAUGGGAGGAAGUUUCAUUUCACUGCAAUUCCUCUGUACAGUGAAAAUUUGUUCUGGAUUAUUAUUGAUGUAUAUAAGUCAUUUCACAUGCCUGUAUCAAAUGUGUAAUAAUCUUUUCGUUGUGCCUGUCUGCAACUCAGUGGGUCAUCCUUAGGGUGAGUAGCAGUCUAUCUUUUCCUGAUACUCUUGUUUCAAAUUUUAAUUUGUAUCAUGUCAUCCAUAAUUGAAAAUAAAAUGAUGUUAUUUUCACAAGAUAA